AUAAAGGUGCUGGUCCACAUGGGAAUGAAAGCAACAAUGUAGGCCAGUCAGGAGAUGACACAAGGCAUCCUGGGAAAUCAGAUCCGCAGACAUCUGAAAAUGCAGAGAACAAAAAAGCGGAAAAUGGGCCUGGAAAUGAUGCAGGUUUGGGAGGAAAUGAAGAGGCAACAAGUACUCACCGCAAGGAUGAUGAUCAAGUGAAUCCUGAUCUUGAACCUGAUGCUGAAUCAGGUAGACUCCUGAAUCAGGUGGAAUCGACAAAUGGAGAGGCCAAACCAGAGGAAAAUAGGCCAGAAAAUAAUGAAGAUACGUCAGGAAAUGAAGGUUCCCACCUGUAGAAGAAGUUUACUGAUCACGUCUUACCCAAAGUCAUCUCAUCCUGAAGGAAAAAGAAAUGCAAGAAGCAAUAUUCUUUUGUCUGCUACAGAACAGUUGCUGUGCUGCAGGAUGACUCUUUUUUUCUGUACAACACACAAAGUAAAUACUAACCCAAAUUUUAGUGGUAAGGUAUGGUACCACUUUUCAUUAGGUCCCUUAAUAGCUGUACAUGUAGAUUAAUAUCCUGUUUCCAAAAGAUGAAAUUUCAGCCUUACCCUGCCUGUACAGAUUGCUAUAUGUUAGGUUCAUCUUUUAUAUUUUAAUCAGCAGUGAAUUUUAUUUGUGACAAUAUUGUGCAUAAAGCUUUUUAAAAACAUUAACAAAAAAACAUUAUUAAGGACACCUAACUGAGAGAUGGGACCAAACCUAUCAUAUUUAUGUGUAAUGCCUUUGAUCUGUGGAUCCAAGCCAAUGACUAAGUAUCUUAAUGCGCAUUUAGUAUAUAGCCUAUUGACUAAGUUCUCUCUUCUAGAAUUUAGCGAUGUAAAGCCUCGUUUUCCCACAGCACUUUCAUAGAUACAUUAACAAUGAUAUUGAAUUGAACAGGAAAAGGAAAUAAUCAGCUGGAACACUUUAGACCUUCAAUCCUGCUACAGUGUUACAGACUUAAAUUGGCAAGUUGUGCUUCAUCUCUAACUGACGGAUCACUUGUGUAACUGUCAUCAUUGUAUUUGAUUCUGAGCACAGCUGUGAGCGCAGCUCAGUAAUGGCAGAUUCCUCAUUCUGGAUUUUGAGAAAUUACUGCUGACUGCAUCCUUUCUGAACUGGAGAAUGUUUUCUGAACUGAUCUGUCAUUUGCUGAAUCGCAGGAUUUCUACCAACAUUCUUGUCUAUGGAUAUUUGUGGAAUGACUCAAUGCUUCGCAACAAGCCAUGAACUCCACCUAAAAGACUUUUGGAUUGUAUAAUAAGGGUGUGUC